GACGUAGGGCGCGAGCGUUGUCCGGAUUUAUUGGGCGUAAAGAGCUCGUAGGCGGCUUGUCGCGUCGACUGUGAAAUCCCGCGGCUCAACCGCGGGUCUGCAGUCGAUACGGGCAGGCUAGAGUUCGGUAGGGGAGUCUGGAAUUCCUGGUGUAGCGGUGAAAUGCGCAGAUAUCAGGAGGAACACCGGUGGCGAAGGCGGGACUCUGGGCCGAUACUGACGCUGAGGAGCGAAAGCGUGGGGAGCAAACAGG
rnacentral:rRNA from 1 species